CAACCUUGACAAAGGUAGCACAGACCAGAUCCACUCCUUCCGUUCUUACCUUUCACAAAAGUGGAAACAGAUGAUUGGAAAGAGAGGAGUUAGAAAGGAAAGAAAAAGGCGACACAGGAGACGAUGAAGACGAUCUGGUCGCCGAUCAAAGCCUCCUACAAUCUUGACGUAUGGAGGUCAGUCAUCUGCUUCAGCAUCCUGGAGGAAUAUCCUUCUGCUGUUUGGGUCACAUGUCAGCUGGUGACUGACACAAAUACACAGCAGAAAAAGAGAC